rnacentral:rRNA from 1 species
GGGGUAAAAUUAAUAAUUUAUUAAUUAAUAAAAGAAAUUUUAAUAUUAAAAUAUUUAAUGGGGGUUAAAGUAUUUUUAAUUGAAAAAAUUUGAAAUUUUAUAGUAAAUUAGUAUUGUGAAGGAAUUUUGAAAUAAUAUUUUAAAUAAAAAUUAAUUUAAAAGUAGAUUUUAUUUAUUGUAUCUUGUGUAUCAGAGUUUAUUAAAAAUUAUUUAUUUAAAUUAAAUUUCUCGAAUUUAAAAGAGUUAAUUAAUUAAUAAAUUUAUUGUUUCAUAAAUAUUUUAAAUAAUUAAUUAGAAAUGAAAUGUUAUUCGUUUUUAAAUAUAUCUAGUUAUUUUAGAAAAAAAUUUAAUUUUUAAUUUAAUUUUAAAAUUAAUUAAUUAAUUAAUUAAUUUUAAAAUUAAAUUUAAUAUUUUAAGGGAUAAGCUUUAAUUUAAAUUUUUAUAAUAAAAUGAAUAAUAUUUGAAAAUUUUAUAAUUUAUAUUGUUAAUAAAUUUUAGUUUAUUAUAAAUAAUUUUAAUUAAAUUUGAAAAUUUAAUUAAGAAUUUAAUUUUUUAUAAAAAAAAUUUUUUAAAUAAUAAAAAAUUAGUUAUAAUGAUAAAAUUAGUAUAUAAGUAUUAAAUUUAAUUUUUAAUUUUAAAAAAGUUAUUUUAAAGGAAUUCGACAAAAAGUUAUAUUCACCUGUUUAUCAAAAACAUGUCUUUUUGGUUAAUAAUUUAAAGUCUAAUCUGCCCACUGAUAAAAUAAUUGAAGGGCUGCAGUAUAUUGACUGUACAAAGGUAGCAUAAUCAUUAGUCUUUUAAUUGGUGACUUGUAUGAAAGAUUGGAUGAAAUAUAAAUUGUCUCUAAGAUAUUUAUUAGAAAUUAAUUUUUUAAUUAAAAAGUUAAAAUAAAUUAAAAAGACGAGAAGACCCUAUAGAGUUUAAUAAUUAAUUAUUUUUAAAUUUUUAAUUAAUUAGAAUAUUGUUUUAAAAGUUAGUUAAUUAUUUUAUUGGGGUGAUAAAAAAAUAAAUUAAACUUUUUUUUAAUUUAAACAUAAAUAAUUGAUUAAUUGAUCCAAUAUUUUUGAUUAUAAGAAAAAAUUACCUUAGGGAUAACAGCGUAAUUUUUUUUUUUAGUUCAAAUAAGAAAAAAAGUUUGCGACCUCGAUGUUGGAUUAAGAUAAAAUUUAAAUGUAGAAGUUUAAAAUUUUGAUCUGUUCGAUCAUUAAAAUCUUACAUGAUCUGAGUUCAAACCGGUGUAAGCCAGGUUGGUUUCUAUCUUUUAAAUGAUUUUAUAUUUUAGUACGAAAGGAUUAAAUAUUAUAAUUAAAUUAAGUUAAAUUGAAUUCUAUUAAAUAAAAAAUAAAUUUG